rnacentral:rRNA from 1 species
AUACGUAGGGUGCAAGCGUUAAUCGGAAUUACUGGGCGUAAAGCGUGCGCAGGCGGUUUUGUAAGACAGAGGUGAAAUCCCCGGGCUCAACCUGGGAACUGCCUUUGUGACUGCAAGGCUAGAGUACGGCAGAGGGGGAUGGAAUUCCGCGUGUAGCAGUGAAAUGCGUAGAUAGGGGGAGGAACACCGAUGGCGAAGGCAAUCCCCUGGGCCUGUACUGACGCUCAUGCACGAAAGCGUGGGGAGCAAACAGGAUUAGAUUCCCUGGUAGUCCACGCCCUAAACGAUGUCAACUGGUUGUUGGGUCUUCAUGGACUCAGUAACGAAGCUAACGCGUGAAGUUGACCGCCUGGGGAGUACGGCCGCAAGGUUGAAGCUCAAAGGAAUUGACGGGG